CAGGAGUAGCAUGUAACUUGUGUUGUACGCCAUGUAGCUUAUGCUUCACACUUCGAAGGGGUGAAUGCUACACUAUGCACUAUUUAAAACACUGCUCUACACAUGCAUACUUAUACCUCAAUCUGAAUUAUCUAAAUCAUGGAGCCUAGUAUAGAUGGAGCAUAACCCCAUUUUGAAUUUGGAGUGUUGACUAUUUAUCAUGUUAACCAUCCAGCCUGAUGAUUGCUAAUCAAGCUAUUAGGAAUUUAGGAUCAUCCCUUAAUUGUAAACUUUUGUACAAUGGUUCAUUCAUGCUAGGCUCCAUGGUUUGAAUGAUUGAGAUUUGUAUCCAUGUAUACCACUGUUGACAUCGAUUUCGGUUGGUAUUCAUGUUCAUGGACAUUCACAUUUAUCUCCAUAUACAUUCAUAGACAUUGCGACAUCCACACAAAAUAGGGAUCGUUCGAAAAAGAAAAAUCCACAAGAAAGAGGGAAGUGGGCAUAUAGUUGGAAGGAUUUUAUUAACCUUUUAUUAAUCUGAGUUCUUAUUAUAUUUUUAAGCUAUGGCAUAACACAAGCCCUUAAUUAAAUUACAUAGAAUAACCCUUGAUUCGAAGGCAAUAAUAAUAAAUAAAUGUGAUGAUUGCGAUGCAAAUGCAUGAUGCAUACAAUCUAAGGGUGAGCGACUGAGUGUAGCCCUCAUGCCCAGGGCAUAGCUCAAGCAGAUCACAAAACGGUUGUGAUCGAUUGAUCAGUGCUCUGUGCCGUCUCACACAAUGAGAUGAAUAGUGCAAGCACACCAUAUUGCCAAUGCUUUCUCUCUAAUAUAGAGUCUGUGAUGUCAUUGAUACAAGGUGGACUGAGGAAAGACCGUAGAACUAGUGUGGUUUUGCGUAUAUAUCUCCGAAACAGAGAGCAUUUAGCUAUUUCUAUGAUGGAGCACGCAUCAUGGCAUAGAGAAAGGCAGGCAACCCAGGUUGUUACAUAGCAAGAGGGUAGUAUGGACAAUGCAUAACACCAACAAUGUACCCAAGGUAUCAAGGCUGAGAGAGAGAGAAUCACAUAGUGGUCCAGGUACUCGUGAGAGUCAUUACGGUUUGAUCACAAUAUGAGCUGGCAUGAGCUCAAGUCAAACAAUAAAUGUUAAUCAUGCACGAUGAACUUAAUAAGGUUAGCCCUAAUAGCAUGGAGCAUUCUACCAAAAGCCCUAUAACCUGUUGGGUUGCCAUGUUGUCCCUUGUGGAGCUGAGUAGGCUGGGGCCGAUCAGUCCUGUGAAGAUGUCACAAGCUCAAUUCAGGAGGGUGCCAAUUCCAUGACAGACCCAAGAUAUACUUAAAUAUGAUGCCAAUGUACAUUAGAAUAUGAGGAUUCAGAAUCUGAUGGUGCCAUGAUAGAAGAGUGCAUAGCACCAAGCUAUGGAUGAGCAAUCAUGCAGAAGGCGCGGGUCAUGAUGUUCAACCGUAAAAUAGGUGCAAAACACAGUCAUGCAAUUCCAAGGGUAACAUUGGGUGCGGAUAGUUAGAGGUUCGUAGAGCAUAGAAAGCAAAAGUGCAGAUCAAACUUAGUCUGCAAUGGAGUCCCAUAGCCAAACAACUCACAGCCAAUUCUAGAAGACACCGGGCGCGGGCCAAUAAGUGGCCUAAAGAUGGCUUGUAGAAUAAUAGAGGGCGCAAACUAGAAUGGCAGAGGAAGGGACCCUUCUUGCACUACCCACUUUGGACAUUUGCUUGACAAAAUAUAGCCAUCCGACACCCUAGGGCCAUCCACCAGGCACAACCAACAUUGAAAUUGUUUUGGUUGCCACCUGCAGAAUAAUCCAUGAGGCACUAGAAUGGGCUAAAAUACAUUGUUGGCACCAUCUUAUCAAUUUCUUUAAAGCGCAGAGGGAAUGGCUCCAUGGGGAUUUCCCCUUUUUAUGAAGGUGUGAGCACACUUUUACCUUCAAAGGUUCAAUAUCUUUUGGGGAUUCUCAAAGAGUGCUCUCAAGAAGAGUUCGAGAAUCAAAGAGUUUACGUGUUCAAAAUGAACCAGCCUUCGAAGUAUUGGUUGUUGGUCGGGGAUACGGAAGCAAUGUGGAUAUCGCCGAUAACUGGAAAUGCCGGGAAACAUUGGGAAAACAUGGGGAAAUGGUGGAAUUUUUUAGUAAAACUUCAGGAGAUGCUAAAAUACACAUAUUGGCAUAUUUAGGAAUAAAAAUUUGAAAAACGAAUGCAUACAUAAUUAGUUUCCAUUUAAUGGGGAACUAAAAGCAUGUGUUGUUGUAAGAAAUCAGUCCAACCAUCCCAUUUAUCCAUCCAACCAUCCAACCUUCCAUCCAAACAUACAUCAAUAUUUCAUAACAUCGACAACAUAGGUCACUUCAAAUCAUCGAUAAUUGGAAAGGAAAAGAAAGAUCGUGGUCUCGAUAUCGCUCAUGUUGCGAUAAGUAUAUUAUCGUCAACAAAAUUGAACAUCGCAUAAAACCAUGCACCCGUAAAAAAAUUGAAAUGAAAAUCUUUUUAAAAAACAAAAUUUUGGCAAUAUUAUCGAAAUAUCACCAAUAUACCGGUGAUACAAGUGACACCUAAAAUUUACACAGUCGAAAACAUUGGUGAUACAUCGGUGAUAUUGAUACGUUGGCUAUACAAGCGACACCUAGAAUUUUACACAGUAAAAAAUAUUGGCGAUAUAGAUACAUUGGCGAUACAUUAUCGAUACCUUGAAUUUCUAAUACUACCAGUAUUAUUGAUAUCUCUACUAGUGUUAUCGGUAUCGCCGAGCUGGAUAAUAUCGGGGAUAUUUCAAACGAUGAAAUGAACCUUUGAAGAGGUAUUUAUAGGUGAUGCUGGAUGGUUUUGGUCAAAUAAGGGAACACUCAGGUGACAAUUGUCUCGCACUAUCAGAUUGAGCGUUCACAUGGCCUGCUCUCAUUGGUUGUCAACAACUCACUUGGGUGGGUGGCAAGUCCAUGCUGUGUCACGGGGCCUAUUGUCUCAAAGUCUCUGCGCCUUCUUCCCAAAAGGCCUCAUUCCUUCCCCGUGCCUUCCACCGUUCUGUGGGUGCAUCCGUUUGUACCUUCCACUGUUUAGGUGGCGCGGGAGCCUAACACAUUAGCUUGCACCUUCUACUAUUCAGAAGGCAUGGCCCACACUUGUAAGAUUUCUAUCCUUUUCAAUUCUUCACCUCUCUUUUUAUGCUCCAACAGCCAUGUGUGCAUUGGGUGUAUGCAUGCACAACUAUCGUCAUAUUCCAAAAGCACGUAGAAAAUCUUUUUUCAGUAUGUUCUAUUUCUGCUUUUGAGAAUGAGGAUGUUAGAUACUUUGGUAGGGUAUAGAUACCCAUAUGCAUGCACAUGUACACUGUAGGCGUGGCAUACCUCAUUUUGGCAACAUUUAGAUGCUAGAAUGGUCCAAUGCUAACCCCCAGCCCAACUAUUGCAUGCAAGCCCCAGAGGGUGAGCAAGAAAGUAGGGUCAUGGUGUAGUUAUUAGGCAUACCACAAAGUACAAAGCAUCAAAGGACCACACAUGAGGGUCAUGUUCAGUUAGUUGGCCAAUGGCAAGGGCUGCCUUGAUGCAUGAUGAUCAACACCACUUCAUGACAUCACAGUCACACCCCACGCUACACCUUAGCAUAACUAUUGCACACUACCCAUUAAACAGGAAUUUGUGAACAAAGUCCAAUGAACCCUCUAGGCAUAGAUACCACCAUUGGACAAGUCGAAAGGACAUGCUUAAGUAGUUGCCUGUAGGGAAUAAGAGGUAGCCAACUGAUAAAUAUUUUACGAAACACCACUAGCAUGCUAACACAAGCCCACACUUUACCAUUUGUGUUUUCCAGAAAGGGAAAUUUACAAACAGUUAAGCUUCUGGCAUGGAAUGCUAGACAAGCUAGCUAGGCUUGAUUGGCCAAUCUAUAGGGAAUGGGAUUUCCAAAUUUCUUUACUCCGGGGAAAUCUAACUGCAACUGACACGUGGGGAAAAAAUGACAUGCGGGAAAAUUAUCCAUGACGUGGAUGUUCAUUGAGUGGUUCCAUCAUGAUUAUCUGCAAACUUUGUGGAUUGGGUGGAUUGGACAAUCCUGUACAUGUACUGAGGAAUGUGUUUCCUUCAAUUUGUUUAUCAACAAUACUAUUGUACCAUCCAUUUUGUAGGGUCGUGAAUCUGUCAGUUAUGAUCGCCAGGUCAGUGAGAUUUUUUCCCCUAUGGUUAAUUAUGGAACCCAAGUAUGAGUGGUUCAGAUCAUGAAUCACUAUUCGAGCCACAAAUCCAGUUUUUGCAGGAAUUCAAAAUAAGGAGCCCUGUGCCUAAUGCCCUAUCAAAUCUUGUGAAGUCUCAAUUGAGUCUUUUGGUCAAAUCGAACUGGGCCUACCAUUAAUCAAGUUGGGCUUUUGGGCAUUAAACAAUGAGUUGAUGUGACGGACAUCUACCAAUCGCCACCCCAUCCUCCUGAGCAUAACAGACGUCCCAUAUACAGUGAAUGCAUAAGUUCAUAACACACGUUGUCACAAGAGGUUCUUGUAGAGAAAAAGUUUCUUGGACAUUGGUGAAUUAGCUUUUGUUAGGCCUGCAACUUGGAGAGAUGCAGAGAACCUUUGCACUCAGUUAGGGCAGUGAAUUAUGAGAAACACUGAAUCAUCAUCAUCAUUAUCAUCAUUGUUUUUUUUCUUCUUUCUUUUCAAAAGAAAUCAUCGUCAUCAUCAUCAAGCCUUAUCUGAACUAAUUGGGGUUGACUACAUGAAUCCUUUCCCGUCAUUCCAUUCUAUCAAGGGCCGUUAUUUCAGUUAGACCAUAGGUCAUCAAGUCUUUACUGACUACCUCCACCCACAUCUUUUUGGGCAUUCCCCUUGCCCUUUCAAAGACUUCAACUUGUAGGAACUCACUCCUAACUGGUGAAGUUCUUGGUCUCCGUUGCACAUGACCAGACCAUCUAAGUAUAUUUUCCCUUGUCUUUUUACCUAUUGGUGGUACUCCUGAGUUCGAAUGCAUUUAUUUCUAGUUCUAUCCUUAUGUCUUGCUGCUCAUCCAUCUCAACAUCCUCAUUUCAGCUACACUCAUCUUAUGGUCAUGUUUCUUAUUUGCCCAACAUUGUUCAGAUUCAUGUUGAAAGUUUUCACAUAAGUUUAAUGCCAGCUGCAAACCUGACGCAACCCUCCUCCUUUGUCCAGGCCGGGGACUGGCAAUGAGAGCAUAAACCUCCCUCAAACGCAAUUUAAUAGACUACUACAUAGGUUGAUUACAAUCAAGCGGGAUCUAAUAGUCUAUUACAUAUGUUGAUUACAGUCAACGAGUUGUGAGAAAUACUGAAUGGGGGUUACUAAUUGAUUAAGGCUGAUUAGUGGAGAUUGACAAUCUGUCACAAGUAAUAAGUGGAUCUUUAAUGAUAUCAAAGCCUCAAUGGAGGCACCAAGAAUCAUAGACUCCAUAAGUGGCCAAUGGAGGCACUAAGAAUCAUAGACUCCAUAAGUGGCUUCUAUCAAGGAGUUCGGUGGGAUUCCCAUUUUGGAGAGGGAGAAUUGCAAUUUGGUCCUCAGUAGGGAUCCAGUUACCAUCCAUUGAACAGAAGGUUGGAAGAAUCCACCAUGGUAAUUGCGAACCAAAGGCUCCAUAAUUAAGUGGGAUUUUACCAUACAGAUCCAUGCUAUUCCUACUUGAAAGAUGUAGAGAACUUGGAAUAAAGUCCUCGAAGGUGAUUUGGUUACUACCAUUCUUGAAGUGGUGGGAGCUUGAUUGCACCGGCUCAUUCAUUGGAAACCUGGGGUUCUUAGGAGUAGGUGGAGUUGUUUGGGGCAACAGUCGAAAGAUUUGGAUAACAUUCUCCAGUCCAGUAGGGUGGGGGGUAAGGAGAUGAAGUGGAAGCAUGAGGGGCUUAGAAUUUUCUUGGAAGAGUAAUUGGUCUAAUUUGUCUUGAACAAUGUGGUUGGACAAAGAGAAUAGACUUGGCUACUUUGAAACUUACAUUCAUAUUGAACGAACAUGAUCUAUCUUUUCGAUUAAAUAUAUCAUUUAAGCACAUAGGAAGAGAUGCCAAUGAUUCUGGUAUGCGCUCAUGUAACCAUUCUAUAAUGUAGUGAUCUUCUUAUAGGUUUGAUAAUUGAAGUUUUAAAUCUUCUCUUUGGAUUAGGAUUUUGAAUAUCCAUGUUGUAUUGGCCGACGAAGCCAUAUAAGAUCCAUAUCAGCCAGUAUGAUUCACAAUUCAGGGUUGAAACGGGUCCUCGCAAAAAGUCGGUGGGGUAUCAGCCAGUAUGAGACAUAUAGGAUACGUUAAGGCACAAGCAUAUCAAUGUCACAGUCGAUAUAACCAUAAAGCCAAUCUUUCAUUUUUCACAUUUCUGCUAUUUUUUCCUCUUUUUUUUUUUUUUUUUUUGUUCCAAGGAUGGAGGAAGCCUGGAAACUCAUUUCGACUAGAUCUAAGGCAUAUUUUGGAGAUCAAAACAAGAUUUGAGCAGGACUCAACAAAUUGAAGCAGCUGACCAGUUUUUGGAAAAUCAGGAAAGGGUGUGAACUAUCACCUUUUUCUUUUAAAUAUAUUUCAACAUAGCGGGCCCUAAUCCACCAAAACAUGUUUGAUUUGUGUUCAAUUAGGGUCUAUUUGGUUGAUUCUCCAAAAUAUCAUGUUUGUACAUUUGAUUUACGGAUCUUUCUUUAACAAAAUCUUUGUUAUCAGCUCAAAAAAUAAAAUAAAAUAAAAUAAAAUAAAUCAUUACCGUGCUUGGGAUUUUUUAUUUUCAUUAUCAAAGAUUACUGCUUUCAAAGUGGUCCAUUAUCUUGGGUAAGGGCUAUAUGUACUAUUUAUCUUUUCCAAAUAGAGAAGACGUGAUGGCAAAAAUCAAAAGAUCUUCUCUUCGAAAAGUCAUGCCGAGUCAAUAUUGUUUGCAUCCAUUUCCUGAAAACAUUGUGAGAACAGAAAUACCAUGUAAGGCCAUGUGAUAGCAGGUUGUACACAUGGGCUUAGGUGGGAUGGAAUGGCAUUUGGUCCCAUGCAAAUUCCAUCCGGCGUUUGGAGUUGACAGGAAGGAUUGAGAUUAGGUGGGAUGGAAUUGCAUUUGGUUCAAUGCAGGAUUUCGGUUGGAUUUUGAAAUCCACUACAUCUGUGGGUUCCACAUUGAUGCAUGUGUUUUAUACACGUUCUCCAUCCAUAUGCGCCCUUCACACAUGACAUUCGAGUUGUAUACGUGUACAAGUGACCAACAUUAGUUGUGAAUCUGGUUCGUUGAUUACAAUUUCAUGGUCUGCCAAACACGUGUUUUCCUUAAUACUGUGGUUUUCCAAAGGAAGAAUUUGAUCCCAAACAUGGGAUUGGAUGAUCAAAAUACCAUGGUAUUUCCAGACACACAAUCAUUGUGCAAUAAUGGUGUUAAUCCCAUCUAAUGCAAUUCCAUACUAUUUAAUCCUUGCAUUAACCUUGUACCUAUGAAUCAUCCUUUGGACUCGCGCACCUGUUCCUGCUUCUUAACAAUGCAUACUUGCUGACAGUUUGAAACAUACACUUCUCGCAUCCGGAUAUGUUGUCACUUCAUGCUUCAUGCGACCAUAAUUCUCUAGACAGUUAUGCUGUUUUAGACCUUUUUUUUUUUUUUUUGGAACAUGGUAUUUGUGCCAAUAAAAAAGGUGCUGGGACAUUAUAUAGUACAAGUGCUUCCAACAGCUAAUCUGCUUUUACGAAUAAUGCAGGUCUCAUUCUCCUGCUAUUCAGACAUUCAUUAUAAGCAAAUGGAACAAGCUAGAAUUUCUAAAUUUGAAAGGGGAACUUUUUGCAUGAAUCUAGAGAAUAGCAAAUUGAAUAUAUUUCCAUGUUGUCAUUCCAUCAUUGUGUUCUUUUGGCUACCAGAGGAUGGUUCUGUUGCAUGAUGGUGGGAAAAUGUUAAGAUAACAAAACAACUAAAAGCGGUAGAUCAAAAAAGAAAGUACCGUAGUUCUGUUAAGCAUUCAUGCACCCUACAUGCUGUGAGGCAUGAGCAUGUGCUGGACAUUCAUAUGCAUCUAGUGGGCCCUACCAUGUGGAUGGCUUGGUCCGAAAUGCCAAUCAACUUAUCAAGUGAGCCAUAUGUGCAUUUAAUGUGGAUGGAUAUAAAAACAUGAUUGAUAUUGCUGAUACUAGGAAAUAUAUCUUUUGACUGAGGAAAAGCAUUGGAGAAACACUGGGAAAGAAACUUCGGGAGAUGCUAAAGUACACACAUUUGCAUAUUUAGGAUUUUUUU